rnacentral:rRNA from 1 species
UACGUAGGGUGCAAGCGUUGUCCGGAGUUACUGGGCGUAAAGGGCGUGCAGGCGGUUUUCUAAGUUCGGAGUGACAGUUCCCGGCUCAACUGGGGAAGGCCUACCGAAAACUGGAGAACUUGAGGGCCAGAGAGGGACAUAGAAUUCCGGGUGGAGUGGUGAAAUGCGUAGAUAUCUGGAGGAACACCGGUGGCGAAGGCGGCAUCCUGGACCGACACUGACGCUGAGGAGCGAAAGCCAGGGGAGCAAACGGG